GGCUUAAUGGGUUGCACAAAGACCAAGCCAGGAUGAGCAGACACGGAUUCAUCAAGCCAGGUGAAACCAAUCCUGGAUCAGUGCGCGCACGCGGCUUCCUCAAAUAGACCCCGCCAUUGAUCACAGAUUCACCGAUUCACCAUGGCAACGAGAGCAGCGUACUUUACCCCGUCGGAGGCAGAAAUCCUCAUGGAGGCUUACGAAGAGGUAAAGGAUCAAAUCAUAAAGAAAGGCAACACCGCCACAGUAAUAAAACAACGAGAGAAAGCGUGGCAAAGUUGCAGGCGGCCUGAAUGCAUGGUCUGCGAUGCUGACUAUCUGAUCAGCAAUGUUGUGGCAAAGUGGCCCGGCCCAGUCCAUGACUCCUGAGUCUUUCGGACCUCUGGAAUCUAUCAGUGCCUAUCACAAGGUGAAUUCUCUGGUGUGUUGCUGGGGGACAGGGGGUAUGCCUGCCAGCCUUUUCUCCUCACACCAUACAUAGACCCUCAGGAAGCACAGCAGGCCCAUAAUCAUGCCCAUGCCAGGACAAGGGCCAGGAUCGAAAUGACCUUUGGCCUCCUGAAGGCACGCUUUCACUGUCUUAACCACUUAAGGGUCAGCCCUUUAAGGGUAUGUGACAUCACUAUGGCCUGUGCUGUCCUCCACAAUGUGGCCUGCCUGAGGAAGGAGAGGGCCCCCAGAGUGCCAUCACACAUGGACUGGGACAAUCCUGCCAUCUUCCCUGAUGACGACAGUGGUCGGCUGGUCAGGGACCAAUAUGUGUUAAAUUAUUUUAGUUAACAUGCAUGCAUUAAAUUUAAGUUAAAUAUGUCCUGCAGUGGCAGAGACGCAUGCUGUGAAUUUCAGUUAAAUAUGGCCUGCAUUGGCAGAGGAAUUUGUUUUUUUUUAUUCAAUUUAAAUUGAUUUGGCCUCUUAUGUUGUUUGUGCUGUAUACUGUGUGUAUACAAGCUUGCAGGGAGGCUACUGCAUCCAUUCAUUUGUCUGUUCAUUUGUUGUGUAUGGAUUUGUCCUGCAUUUAUUUCAGUGUGCAGACAUGCGGGGUGUAUCAUAUACAGACCUUUGAAUGUGUAUUUAUUCUUGUGUUGUAUAAUAUGCUUUGAUUCCGUGCUUUCUAUCUUGUAGAGUCACUGUGUGACUUCAGUUUUGAAAGGAGCUCAUGGUUUACUUGCUUUGAUUUAUCCUUAUUCAAUAAAGGAACAUCAUGUUA